rnacentral:lncRNA from 1 species
UUUGAAUUUAUACAACUUCAUGCCCACGAAGACGAAAGUCUGUCAAAUUUUAAUGAAUUAUAUAUGUAUAUUAACAAUAUGUCAGAGUAAGUGACAAUGCAAACAGUGCAAAAUAUUCAAUUCAAUCCCAGUGUUAUAUAAUUACUCAUUUAUAACAUAUAAAAAACUGCAGUAGGCACAAUUCGUGAAACUUUAUUUAUUUUGCCACUCAGUGCCAGACGAAUCCGGGUCCGUUCGCCCUGAUUCAUGUUCGCCCUAGUACCUGUUCGCCCUGAUACCUGUUCGCCCAGGGUCCAUUCGCCCUAAACUUUUUUAUUUUUUUCUAAUUGUUGUCUAGUCGCAUUAUUUUAAAUAUUUGAACAAAAUAUGUUAAAGUUUGUUGAAAAAUUGACAGAAUAUUUAUAUUGCCGCAAUCAAUUUAUCAUUUUCCCUUUGAUUUGCAGAGUAGAAUACUGGAAUACAAUGUAUUUAUCUUUAUUGAUAUUUUGUUAACAAAAUAAUUGUAUUCAGUCAAUCACGAAUGUAUACAGUAUGACUAGUCUUAGAGUAUAAAUAAAUGAACUUGUAAAUCCGUUUCAUAAUUUACAGUUCGUACAUCAUUGUUUUUAUUAAUUUCAAGCUGAAUAUUUUAUCAAAACAAGACGUUUGUUUUUAUUAUUAAUCCAUCAAACAUGUCAAAAGACAAGUAUCAUCUUCUUCUUCUAUACAUAUUAAAUUCCAAUUAUGGAACACCUUCUCAUUGGAAUUAUUUCCAGAUGAGGAGUUAUAAAAGUUUCACAAUAAUCAGUGAUCCGAAUUAUUUGUCAUUGAACAAUUAAUGAUCGUAAACAAGCCAUAAACUUUUAAAUAUUUCAAUGCUUCCAUAAAUUUCAAGAAUAUACAUGAUAUCAGUCAGAGCUCUGACAUAAACAAGUCAGAAUAAAAUGACUUCUUCAAGUCAGAAAAUGUUUUGAAAUUCUGACCUGUACGGGUCAAUUUUUGUUUUGCGUAGUUUUCCAUCGAGUCCGUCAAACCAGAAGAUAUUUUGAAUUUGCCGCCGAUCUAAGACACAUACGAUCACGUGGUUUUCUGCAAGAGAUCACGUGUUUGAGAGUCGUUGUUUUGGGAGUUUCUCGAACGAGAAGUUAUUGAAAAUAUAGUGAUUAUUUACGUUUUUUUAGUGAAAAUCUAGGUCAAUGUGGUCAUUUUCAGAAGGUAAUACAUAUUACCUCCGUAUUUUCAUGGCCAUUUUAAUAUUUUUUGCGUGUGAAGAAGGUCUUUGCAAGUGAUUUUUUUGCUGUUUCAUGAAGGCGCGUGACCUGUAAAUACGGACGCGUGGCCUUUGAGAUGACCUGGUGUCUGACAAUUCUGACUUGUUCAGGUCAGAAAAUGUUGUUAUGAUAAUGAACUGUUAUUUUCGGGAGACAACUCCUGUUGUCUUAAACAGUAUUAACAUUAAUAACCAGUCGGUGCAAUUUUAAAAGUAAAAUUAUUGCUUCGAGCUGAACAUCAUCACGUGAUUGUUCUAUUUUUAAACUCAAUCAUGAAGUGACUUUUUAACCUUUCCGAGUUUGCGGCUUAUAAAUAUAUUUGUUUUUUCGUUUCUCCCAAUGAGAAAAACGAUCUUUUGAAUAUUGAUAUUAAUGAAAAUGAAAUGAAAUCGGAAUAAUUUUAAUAAAGGGAAGGGAGGGUUUAACUAAAGAACCGAAAUAUUUUUUAUUUUUAUUUUAAAAAUGAUUUUAACUUGAGAACAUUAUAAAGAGAUUCACAAAACGGGUUUUUCAAUUAUGAACAUGGAAUAUGAUAUUAAAAACAAAUCAAAUGAAAUGUAGGGUAAGGCUCCAGGGAUCACCCUACCCUGUCAUUUGACAAUGUUGAACAGUCGAGAUCCCUGCCCCCUAAACUCAAUUUUUUCUCUCUGUAAAGUAUAAUGAAAUAUACCAGGCUAGUCUCUAUGGGUCGCCCCACCCUUGUCAUUUGAGAAUGAUCUUAUAUCUUGAAAAUGGUCGAGAUCCCACCUGUAAACAUAUAUAUUCCUUUUUAUAAUGUCAAAUUGAUUUGAAUGAAAUAUACCGGGCUAGUCUCUGGNNNNNNNNNNNNNNNNNNNNNNNNNNNNNNNNNNNNNNNNNNNNNNNNNNNNNNNNNNNNNNNNNNNNNNNNNNNNNNNNNNNNNNNNNNNNNNNNNNNNNNNNNNNNNNNNNNNNNNNNNNNNNNNNNNNNNNNNNNNNNNNNNNNNNNNNNNNNNNNNNNNNNNNNNNNNNNNNNNNNNNNNNNNNNNNNNNNNNNNNNNNNNNNNNNNNNNNNNNNNNNNNNNNNNNNNNNNNNNNNNNNNNNNNNNNNNNNNNNNNNNNNNNNNNNNNNNNNNNNNNNNNNNNNNNNNNNNNNNNNNNNNNNNNNNNNNNNNNNNNNNNNNNNNNNNNNNNNNNNNNNNNNNNNNNNNNNNNNNNNNNNNNNNNNNNNNNNNNNNNNNNNNNNNNNNNNNNNNNNNNNNNNNNNNNNNNNNNNNNNNNNNNNNNNNNNNNNNNNNNNNNNNNNNNNNNNNNNNNNNNNNNNNNNNNNNNNNNNNNNNNNNNNNNNNNNNNNNNNNNNNNNNNNNNNNNNNNNNNNNNNNNNNNNNNNNNNNNNNNNNNNNNNNNNNNNNNNNNNNNNNNNNNNNNNNNNNNNNNNNNNNNNNNNNNNNNNNNNNNNNNNNNNNNNNNNNNNNNNNNNNNNNNNNNNNNNNNNNNNNNNNNNNNNNNNNNNNNNNNNNNNNNNNNNNNNNNNNNNNNNNNNNNNNNNNNNNNNNNNNNNNNNNNNNNNNNNNNNNNNNNNNNNNNNNNNNNNNNNNNNNNNNNNNNNNNNNNNNNNNNNNNNNNNNNNNNNNNNNNNNNNNNNNNNNNNNNNNNNNNNNNNNNNNNNNNNNNNNNNNNNNNNNNNNNNNNNNNNNNNNNNNNNNNNNNNNNNNNNNNNNNNNNNNNNNNNNNNNNNNNNNNNNNNNNNNNNNNNNNNNNNNNNNNNNNNNNNNNNNNNNNNNNNNNNNNNNNNNNNNNNNNNNNNNNNNNNNNNNNNNNNNNNNNNNNNNNNNNNNNNNNNNNNNNNNNNNNNNNNNGUACGUGCAGCAAGAACCAGCAUUGCUUUUUUUAACCGCAUGCGGGUACUCGCAGACACUGCCAUAAAAAAAUACACUGACAAUGCUAUGGCUUAAAAAUUUCAAGACAAACAGACAAAAUGAAAUAACAGUAUACCAGACACAACAUAGAAAACAAUUAAUUGAGCAACACAAACCAUACCAAAUACUGAGGGUUAUCUCAGGUGCUCUGGAAGGGUAAGCAGAUCCUGCUCCACAGUGUUGUUCAUGUUAAUUAUUAGAAAUCCAGUAAAUAGUCUAAAUCGGUUGGUCACAUUCGUAUAAAGGGAACAGGUUUAUAUUAAUGCCAUAAGGAACAUAUCCGACAUUUUUUCAAAUAUCGUCUGUGAAACUGAUAUUCCAUAAUGGUGAACCAACUUGUGAGGGCGCCAGUAAAAUUUACUUCACCAUUUGGAACUCUUGGUUAAAGAUGUCAUAAUCAUUUGGACUUUUAAAGACUGACAGUCAUGACUGUGACAGAAAGCAAAUUUAACUUUUUGCAUAUAAUUAUUUAUUGGUACAUGUACAUGUAUUGCUGUGCUAUAUUUUAAACAUGUUAAAUGUUAUCUGGUUAUGUUUGUUAUAAAAAUAUAUAUAUUUCCCAAUGGAUUUAAUUUGUGCAGGGGCGGAUGCAGGAAUUUUCGAAAGGGGGGGUGCUAACCCAGGGCAAAGGGGGGUGCAAAACAUAUGUCCGAUACAAAUGCAUGAUCGGCAAAAUAAAGGGGGUUGCGCACCCCCGGAACCCCCCCCCUGGAUCUCCACUGUUGUGUGUGUGUGUGUGUGUGUGUGUGAGUGUACUAAUAUUCUUCUGCAAACACAUUUAGGGUGCUUCACUCUAGCUGCUAAACUGUAUCUCUGAGGUCUUUAUAAUAUUCUUUUGACAAUUUACAGGGUGCCAUCUAUUGUAUACAAUUUGUCAUAAAUAAUCAUACAUGUCAUAAGGACAUAUGAGAUAUGGUUAAAAAGCUAGCUCUAGUCCAAAUAAUAAUGACAUCUUGAAAAGGUAUUAAUUUUUUGCUUUGACAUCUAGACCAAACACAACUUUUGAGAGAAUUUUGCUGUCAACUUUGAGACCCUAUAUUGCAACAAAAUAUUCACUAGCGUGACAGGACCAGAGGCAUUUAUGUAUACCAUGUACAGUGUAUACAAUCUAAGUACAUUUUUCAAAUAAAAUUAUGUCAUUAAACCAUAUAAAUAUUACACUACAUGUACACCUUUUCUUUUAAAAAAAACAUGUUUAUAUUUAAAAUAUGAAAAAUUAAACAAAAGUGAAAUAAUGCCUGGUAAAUCUUCUGCCAGUAGUUUCCUGAAAGUUUUAAAGUGGAUACCUGGCCUAUAAAAUUGAGAAUGGAAAUGGGGAAUGUGUCAAGGAAUCAACAACCCGACCAUAGAACAGACAACAGCAGAAGGUCACCAAAAGGUCUCAAUGCAGCGAGAAAUUCCUGCACCUGGAGGCUUCCUUCAGCUAGCCCCUGCAGGGUUGUUACGAUUAAAACAAUAAAUAUAGAAGGUCCUAUAAUAACACAAAUUUUUUUUAUUGCGAAAAUGCAACAGGGUUAUAAUCGCAAUGAUUAAAACUUGCAUUUUAAAAUUUUUUAAAUGAAUUAAACAGGAUUUUUCUCAAUAUAUCGCAAAGAUAAAAAUCGCAUUUAAGUCUUAAAUGACAAUGAAUGACAAGAUUGCAAUUAUAAGUGCACCCAAUAAUUUCUAAAUUUACAGUAUUUGUUGAUAUUUGAUUUUGUGUGUUUACCAAACUGCAUGCAAACCUAGGUUGGUAAGGCUGGGACAUAUUGUCUUUACACUUUUUAUGCUGUUCAGAGGUUCAGGUACUGAAUUAAUAGCCUUUUGCAGUAAAUAUAAAUCCUAAAACUUACAAAUUUAGACCUCUAUGAGUCAAAAGCAGAUUCAGACUUAUUUAUGUCUGAGCUCUGACUGUGAAAUCUACUCACACUGUUAGGUUGUUCCUUUAUUAUUUGAUUUGAAAUUGAGUUUAAUAGCUAUAUAGGUAAAAAAAUUCUACUUUUCACUUACAUUGACUUUAUUUCAGUGUUACUAAAGUAAAAUAGAAAAUGUCUGGAGUUCCUGUUUAUCUGAAAGGACGUGGCAGGGGCAGAGGUCGUGGAAAUGUAGAACAAAACAAAGCUCAAUGGACAAAUGGCGGUAACUCUGAAAACAAUGUCAAGGACAAUGGAUGGAAAAAUGGUGUUGCCAGCAAACAACCAAAAAAUGAAAUAUCGCAGACCAGUAUCAAUAGUAUGUUUCCCUUUAGCAAUGUUUAGGUUAAACAUAAAAAUAAGAAAAUGUGAUAUGAGUGCCAAUGAGACAACUUUCUAUCUAAGUCACAAUGUAUAAAAAGUUAACAAUUGUCUUUAGAAGAAAGUAAGGACUUCAACCAUUUGUCAACAUGGAUCCUUGACUCAUUCUGAACAGCAAGUUAUAAAUAAGAUAAAGAGCCCCAAAGUGACUUGAGUUGUGUAAAAUAAUUCAAACAGGAAAGUUAAUGGUCUGUUUAUAUAAAAAAAAAAGAGAAACACUCCUUUCAGGUUAAAUUUUUUGGUCAAGGUAUUUUUUGAUAAAGUUAAAGUCCAAUCAACUUGUUCCUCAUGAUAUGAUCUUUCUAAUUUUAAUGCCAAAUUAGAGUUUUUACCCCAAUUUCACAGUCCAAUGAUCAUGAACAUAGAAAAUGAUAGUGCGAGUGGGGCAUCUGUGUAUUUGGGACUCAUUCUUGUUUUUUAAAGUGAUAUUAUUUUUUUUUAGAUAAACUCAGUGUAGAUGAAGCUCAGAAGAAAUUUGAAGCUGUAAGCAGCAAGCAUCAGCAGGCUAUACAGAAUGUUUUGGAAGAAUCUCAGUUCUCUGACGACGAAGAAGAAGGAGAUAUUGGUGAUAAUGUAUUAUCAACAGUCUUCAAGUCAUAUUCAGAUACUAUAGGCAAGUGUUGGCAGAUCCUUCCCCCUUUUUUUUUAAUUAUGUAAUCGUUUCAUGGAACCCACUUUCCAAAAUGGUUUGAUCUGCGUUUGGUGUAACGGAAAGAUUUGAUCAUCUGUCAUAUCAGUUUAUGGACUCAUGAAAUAAAUAUAACAAACUGUGGAUUGGGGUACUACUAAUUGUUGUGGACUUGGUGAACACAGGUAAAUCAGGUAUUGAAAUGUUUAACAACCAGGGCUCACGCUACCAGGCGACUUGGGCGAAGAAGUCGCCUUCCCGACCGUCACUUCGCUUUCCUCGACCCCCAAAAGCGAAAACAAGUCGCCCUGUUCUUGACGACAGUCGCUUUCAGUCGCUUCCGUCAUCGGACAUUUUCAAUUUUUACCAAGUUGAUGAAACAUCAAAUUUUUAUUGAUAAUUAAAGAAUUUCAGACAUAAACGAUUCAUUAUCUUUUGAAAAGAGGUUGAAGCAUUGUCUUCGCAGUGUGUAAGCAGGUUAUUUGAUAAAAAUACAACUUUUAUCACUUCGUGCAUUUCUGCAAGUACCGGUGCUUGUUACUCGAAAACGUACAUCAACCUCAAUUUCGGCGGCAAAAUAAGUUUGUUACUUCAUUUAAACGUGAUAAAAGUUGCCUCCAGUAAAUUUUUAAUCCAUAUUGCAUUAAAAACGUCAUGUUUUCUUCCAAAUAACUUGUCAAACAUCGUUUAUUUGUAAAUUUUCUUGCAUUUGUCCGCCAUUGACCGAUUUCUAAUCUACGGAUCUGAACCGGAUCAGCUAUGACCGAAAUCCGUACUUUUACAAUAAUUACUACGGACGCACGGAUGGAACAGUGACAGAAGAAAUCUUGAUCCCAAAGGGAAAAAUUACGCAUUCCACACGCAUUAAGAGACUUUUGGUUACAUCUAAUUGAUUGGUGUAUAUAAUUCCUUAUAUUUUUUAUGGAUUGUUUCAAACUAUUGAUUAAAGUUACUUAACUCUGAGACUAUUAUACUAAUAUCAAUAUAUUAUGGCCCAGCUUAAUAACUUUUAUAUUUUUUUUAUGAGAAACACUGAAUGUCAUACACGAGGUAAUUUUUAAUUAAAUUGUAAUUGAUAUAUUAUAAUUUCUUUACAUUUUUUUAAAGAUUUUUUAUUUUUUUAGUGCUAGAUAUUUAGUUGGUAGUUUCUCACAAGCUUAAACAACUUUUAAUUUCAAAUGUACUUUAUUGUAAUUUUUUUACUCAGAUAUGAAUUGAACAGUAUAAAAAAAACAUUAUUUACAUAUAUGGCCCUUUAUACUAUUGUAAAAUCCAAACAUUGUAUCGCACAGCGCGAAUGAGCACUUCUCUUUCAAAUCUCACCACUUCUCCCUAUCAGUUUCAAAAAGAGAAGUCACUUCUCCCUAUUAUUCUGAAGUAGUGUGAGCCCUGACAACAUAAUUUUCUUAAGACUUGAAUGCAUGCAGAUGUUAGUAAACACAUGAAAUUAAGUACAUUGUAUCAACAAGUACAUGAUUUUUCCUCCGUCCAUCAAAAUUCAUUCCUACAAAUCGUCAGUCAUGACAGUAGGAAGCAAUAAAAAUUUCUGCUUAAAUCCCCCAAAGCCACUACAAAAACCAGAACAAAGAGAAAAGUCAUACUCAUUUCAUCAGGUUGUAGAUUGGCCAUAUAACCAUUAAAGUAUAAAACAGACAGAUAAACAAAAACACCCAGUGUUCUCCCCAGGCCCUUAAAGGACCACGGGCCCGCGAUGUAUAAUUUUCUACCGUGGUGGUAUCGUUCUUGCCGCGAUGUAUAAUUUUUCACCGUGGUGCUAAAAUUUUUAGUAAAAAAGAAUCAUUAAUCGGUAAACCUUUCCGUGGGGUAUUAAAUUUCAGAUGAAAAUUGACCAGUUCAAACCAGUUCAAUCCAGUUCUGACAACGGAGAUUGUUUACACCACGUGGUCGAUUUACCUUUUGAGGUUAACCUUGCUGAUUGGAUUUAAUCGAUAUACAUGAUUCUUGUGUUUAAUUAAUUAAGAGAUCAUAACUUAAUGAUCACAGACUUAUGAGACUUUUGAGGGACAAGCAGACAUUUGUUAAUUAACUCUAUUACUCCAGCCUUUGGUCAUAAAUGAUUUCCGUAUAAAAUACGUGAGUUACUUCCCCUGAUUUAGCUUAUUACAAAAAUGUGCUCCUAAAAUAUUAUCCAUCAUUUAAAAUAGAAAUAAAGUACAAAUUGAAUGCAAAAUUAUAUAAGGAUUUUACCUCAAGGAUAAAAACUUUCUUUGAAAAUACCAACAAAAAUAUAUUGCAAAUUAUUUUUGACAAUCAUACUUUAAUUAAAGCACAGACAUUUUGUAUUAAAUAAGUAGUUAUAUUUAAACAAGGUUGAUUAAAUCUUCCAUUUGAUAUAUAGCUAAAUAGUAUUAAAGAAGUGCAAAUAUAAAAGAAAUAAAUAAUUUUACAGUGAUUGGAUCUCAGCUAGACAUGAUAACAAUUAUGUGUGUCCACAUAGAUAAUAUAAGUAUACUUUUCAUGUCUAUCAUGAAAUAACACAAGGAUUCUAAUAAUAAUUUUAUUGAUGUCUAAAAGAAUCAUGUCUAAAGCUAUGGAAAAUAGUAUUUAAUUUAUUAAAGGUUCUGCAUUAAAAUUUAAUCUUGUUUAAAGUUAAUUGUUAUGGUGUAAUCUAACAAAAAUGGGGAAUGUGUAGUGUAACUACAAGUAUCAGGACAAAAUUGGCUUGAUCAAAGUAUAAAAGUGACUAGUUUAAAAACUAAAAGUGCUUUCUGUUAUUUAUUCUUAAAAGAUAUUAAAGUAUACAAACUGUUUGAUUUACUUUUUUUUUUACCAGUAUUUUUUUUCACCAAAGUCUACAUAACACAGUAAACAAAACAAAAGACAAAAAGGUAAUGGCACAAAAACUAACAAAAAGAAAAAAUAAGCGAUGCAACGUGACACAACAUUUUGUACAAAUCAUUUCGACACGCGUUACCCUGGUGCUAUCCAAAAAUCCUGGGGAGAACACUGACACCCCUUUCUGAUCCCAAUUUGAACAUGAUAUAUUUUUUAUUUAAUAUUAAUGAUUAUUUAUUAGAUACAUAAAAAAUUUAGUAAAAGUACUUUGAGCUUUUUCAUAAAAAAUGAGCUUUCUUUUUUAUGGUAUAGUUGUAUUCUCGACUUCUAAUUAUGAAUAGAAGUCGAUACACACUAUUGAAUUUUAAAAGUAGAUUAUAAUCAUGAUGAUAAAUUACUUUAUUUAUCAGACCAUGGUGAGGAUGAAGAGAAGGCCAGAGAAGAUAUGAUGUACUCCUUUAGAUCAGGGACAUCUGCUUGUCUUGUGUGUAUAGAGAAUAUCAAGAGAGAAGAAGCAGUAAGUUUUUGUCAGGUUUUCUAUAUAUGUAUAUGUAUAUAUAUAUAGAAAAGGCUUUUCCAUUUAAAGUGACAUUUUGAAUUCUGUAGGCAGUUAAAUUUAUAACAACAGAAAUCAGUCUGCACCAAAAACUUUUUCAACUACUACAAAAUGUACUAGUCCGAAGACCUAUAUUCCGACAUUUGAGAAAUUUCUUAAAGGGGCACUAGCUGUCAAAUUCAUGAUCACCGAUUUGACUCAAAUUCUCUUAGUUGAUUUACAACAAUGUAAAACAUUUAUCCAAACUAUCAAAAGUCUAAAAUAAACAGUUUACAGAGCAUAGGGUAGAUAAUAUAUAUAGGUUCGUUUCAUGUGUAUUGUAGUCCAGGCGCCAUCUAAUUAACUACCGAUUUGACCUCAGAUGAUAAUAUAAGCGAUGUAAACAUAAAUAAAGAUAUGAAUAGAUUAAACCAACAAGUGCAAUUGGAUUUUUAUAGGUCUGUUUGAUUUUAUUUUAUAGAUUAAAAAUAGAUGUUUCUCAUUGUUUUUAACCGUAUAAGAAUGAUUUUAUGUGCAUCGAAUUAGUAAUCAAAUGAUUUACCGUAGCUUCACUUUCAUUGUUGACAUUCUUUUUCUUUAAAUAACCAGUACACGUACAAUGCAUGCAUUGUCAAUCUCUAUUUAGGGGUUAAAUUGAAGUUCACAUGAAUACGGAUUUAAAGAGGUCGACUCAUUCACUUGCAAGUGAAUAACUAAUUAUCAAUGUUUCUUAGCGUAAUUUGACAAAAUUUAACCUUUUUGGCUGCAAAAAAAGCGAAUUGUUAUUUCACUAUUUCACUUUCAUUAUUGAUUGAACAAAAAAAAAUCAAACUUUAGAUUUUUUAUAUAUCUCGUAGCUAGUGCCCCUUUAAGUAGUUACAUGUAAUAUAUGUUUAAAGUUUCUUGUAAAUUAAGACAAACUUCUGUAUAUAAGCAGGGGAACAAUUCUUAUAAAGUUAUUGAUUUUAAAAUCAUAUUCAGUAAUUUGAAAAUGAUCAAAAAUAAUAAAGAAUAUGGGGUAUCCAUCUACGAAACAAAAUCUGAACAAACAGAAAAAACACAAAGAAACAGCUCUGUAAUUGCAGAGUCACAGUGCAGCCUUCAAUAAGGAGCAAAAACUCUCACUUUACUGGUCCAUUUGUAUCUAGCAUUUUCCAUGUUAAAGACACUUUGUUUUUGUUCAUUAUAAAUAAACUCAUCAUAGAUACCCAGGACUAAAUUUUGUAUAUAUACGCCAGACGCGCGUUUUGUCUACAAAAGACUCAUCAGUGAUGCUCGAAUCCAAAAAAGUUAAAAAGGCCAAAUAAAGUAUGAAGUAUAAUUAUUUCAUCAUAAUCUCUCUGCUUUUUAACUAUAGAUAUGGAGUUGUAAAGUGUGCUAUGCCAUGUUUCAUAUACCCUGUAUACAGAAAUGGGUCAAAGAAGGAGUUUAUCAGCAAGUGUACAAAUCAGAUGAGAAUAUUGAUGCCAAAUCUGUACCGUGGCACUGGUAAUUUAUUUUAUUUAGAAUCAACCACAGUACACACCCUUAAGAAAAUUAACAAACUUACAUUACAUAUUUACCAUUGAGCUACUGAUUAUAGGUUUUUGGACUAUUCCAUAAAAGUGUAUUUGGGGGUAGGAAGAGAAGUUUAAUUAUUUAUUGUGAGUCCUGGGUCCUUUCUCAGUAUGAAACUUUUACCAUUAUGCAAAAUUAUCAAGAAAAUGGUUCUUGGUUGUUACUUGUAGGGAUAUUGAGGUAAUUUAAAAAGUGUGCUUGUAUGAUACUGUCUUCUUACCAGCAUUAUAAUCAUUACUAUAGAUGGAAUGAAAAGGAAAUCACAAAUCUGCAUCAUUUUCUAUGCAGUAUAAAAAGACCACAAUCAGUAGAAAUAAUCUUUUUGCAGAAUACUGUGCAUUCAUUUAUUUUUCAUGCAUACCAUUUUUGUGGAUCAAGAAAAACUUGUGUAUUCGUGGAUAUUUUCAAUUUGUGGUUUUGCUAAAAUCUGCAUAAAAUUGAGAAUUCCAAUAGAAAAUCUAUAAAGGAGUAGGUCCGGUAAGGCCACUUUUUGGCCCAAAAAUAUAACAGUUUUACAAAAUUGGUAAAAUGCAAACUUUUAGUUAUUUAUUGGACAGUUGAAUGCUUCUGCUACAUAAAUAUGGGCUGUUUUUGACAAUACAAUGCACAUAUAUCGGGUUGUAGCACCAUUAAGUCAUGCUAAAUUACUGAAAUCUUCAAAAUUCUAUCAUUUUAGGUAAAUUUUAGACGGUUUCCGUGUAAAACGAAAGUGGCCGCAUUCGUGUUCAUCCUUAAUAUUGCAAUGUAAGUUGUAUUUUAUGAUAAUACAUAACAUAUAUAAAGGUUGUGGAUGAACACGGAUGCGGCCACUUUCAUUUUUGACAAAAACAAUCUGAAAAAUGACGUUUUUUGGCAUAUUUGAGAGAUUUUUCAUAUUUGAGCUUCAAUCGGAUCGUUUUUAAUGACUUAAUCAGUUAAAAUCUUUCACAUAAACUAAUUGAAUCAAGUGAAAUAGACACUUAAGUGUUUAAAAAGUGGUCAAAAUCUUUCGUCAGAUGAAACUGAAAUUUGAGGCCAAAAUGAGUCCUUACCGGACCUACUCCUUUGUUAAACCUUUAAAUUUGUUGUUCCCCUAUACCCACGAAAAUUAGUAGUUAACGAAUAUUUAUAAAUCCACAGUAUGUUAAACCGUGCUGUUCAACUAAUAUGACCUCUGCAAAUGCCAUUGUAUUUUAUGCCCCAACUACGAUAGUAGAGGGGCAUUAUGUUUUCUGGUCUGUGAGUCCGUUCGUUCAUUCGUUCGUUCAUUUGUUCGUCUGUUCGUCCGUUUGUCCCACUUCAGGUUAAAGUUUUUAGUGAAGGUAGUUUUGGAUGAAGUGGAAGUCCAAUCAACUUGAAACUUAGUAUAUAUGUUCCCUAUUGUUUUUUUUAUAGUUAUGUGUUUUGUUGUUUUUUCAUUUACAAGCAAGGAAUGAAAAAUCAAUAAAAUUAGUAGCUGUAUUGGCUAUAAUGAAAAAGAAUAGAUUUUUUUCUCAUAUUUUGGGAAAUUGAACAGCUGUGAUGUAUAGAACAGCUUUUUGAUGUAGUUUGUUUACCAUGUGCAUGCUGUUUUAAUUUUAAUUUUGGCAAAAGCCACAUGGAAUUUGAGAAAAAUCAAGUCUUAUUCCCUUUCGGAUUUUUAUAAUGAACUUAUAUUGUAAAAGCUCAGGGUUGAUUAUUUUAAAAACUUUUCUUCAAAAUAUUAGAACAUCUGGUUUGAAAACACAGUUAUUGUCCCUAUCGUUGAUAAUGUGUUACUAGAAUACUAGCAAAUUUUUCUCAUACCCCUUCCAAAUUUUGUUCUUCAUGUUUUAUGCCUUAAACAGCAAGAAGGGGAUGAAAUUACACUAAAACAAUUUGGGUCAUAAAUUUUGAAAUUAAAAUGGUUAUUUGGUACAGCUGAAAAUUUUUUAAAAUAAGCAUUACAGAAGCUGUUAAAAGACCCCUUUAACAUAAAUUGUCCAUAUUUUCAGUUAAAGCCUAGUAUGUAUUUUUCUAAAAUUUUUAUUUCCUCUUUAAAAAGCAAGUAGGGGUGCAAUGUGAAUUUGAUUUAAAUCUAUGAACAGGAAUUUGACAGCUAGUGCACCUUCAAGGCAGUAUCUAAUCACAGUAAUUUAGGUUAUGUAGAGUUAUCUCCCCUUAUAUGGUUGAUUUUUAAAUUUCAUUAAUUUUUUUAUAUAUCUGUCUCAUAUCCUUGAUAAAAUACAAUAAAAGAAUAGAUUAUACUUUAUAAACAUGUUUUUUUUGAUUUUUUAUACAACAUAUGAUCAAUUAUUUGAGAAAUUUUGAUGAUUUUAUUACAGAAAAUAACCUUUAUUUUAAAAUAUACAAUUUUUCAAACAUAUAUAUUGUACUGAUAAGAGUAUACUUGUGCAGAUGCUUAGACAUGUCAAUGAAGGUCCGCUGUCCAUUAGUCUAGUUGUUUAAUAAAAAUGUAUAGCUCUUUGACCCAUUGGUAAUGUUAACAGAAGUCUGUGUUUUUAUUAUGGUGAUGUGUAUCUUAGGGGGGAUUAUUAUACAAGGAAGCUAGGAGAAUUUGAUUUGAAAUAUGAAUAUAUCUGUUAGUUGUUUGGCUAAAGAUAUUCCUUUUUUUACAAUUCGUGAUUUUAUGAUUUUGACAAAAUCAGUCACCUGUGUACAUAUACUAAAAAUACCUGUGUAACCUUAUUGUUUUAAUGCAACAAGGCAAAGUUCAUAGUAAAUUCAACUAACCAAAACUCAGUCUAUUGGUUUAAUCUUUUAGUGUGCCACCCAAACUACAAAUUAAAACUUCUACCAAGAAAGUCUAAUUUCAAUAUUCUGUGAGCAACAUAUGCAAAGGGGAAAGGGAAGGAAGGGGGGAUACAGCAGGGGGUUUAAACUGGAAGCCUCUGAGCUUCACACAUAUGCUUAGACGAUGGGCUAUAUUAAAAUGUAAGCCAUACAGCCUUUCUCUGGUUAAAUGUGAUUCUUUUUAAAAGCCACAACACAAAUAUUUUAUGCACUUAGAACCAAAUAAAAGUAUUAUCUAAAACAUAUCUUGAAAGAGGAGAAGAUAAAUCAUUCAACUGUCACCUGUCUAGAUUUAGUAAAACAAUUCUCUGUGAACAAUCUUUAUUACUGCAAAUAAUAACAAUUUAGUAUUAAAAAAAACAAAAUCAUUACUUUCCAUACAAAUUUUUUCACACAAUUUUUAUAAUUUUGAGAUAACUUAUAAGUUGGUGCCCUCUUUUUAAAAAAAAUAUAAUUGUUUAAAUCACAUAGAUGUUUUGACUGUAUCGUUGCAUUUGCUUCAUGAAAUUUCUUUAAAUUUUUGUUGAGCCUUCGACUUUUGUCUGCGAAACCCUUACAAUUUUUUUCUAAAAUUGUUUAAGAAUAGUGUUAAAGAAGGCAAUAAAUUAAGAAUGAAACAAUAGAAAUGAAUCAAAAUGGUAUAUUUGUCAGACAUCUCUAUAUAUGUUUCUGUCGUUAUUGAAGACGAAAUUAAAACCAGAUGUUUUGCGACAAUACUUAAAACCAAGUAAUUCUGGACUCAUUUCCUGGAUUCAUUUUGUUAAUCAUUAAUUGACCGGAAAUCACCAUCAUUUAAAAAAAAAAAAAACUCUGAAAGUGUUUGAAUAUUACAGAUAAUAGAUGCUCUUGUUUUAUUUAGCAUGCAAUCAUUUUGUCUAAUCUGGUGCUUAAGAGAAUUUCACACAUGUAUGCAUAUUUUACAUACUAAAUAAAGCAUGUGUAAUAUUUGUGAAAAAUUAACUUUCUAUGCACCCACCAUAGCAAAGGGGCAUUGAGUUUUACUCAGGUAGGUUAUUGUCUUUCUCCCAAACCAAAUGAGUAAAGGUACAAGUCUAAACUUACACUCAUUGAUUAAAUAUUAUAAAUGAAAUAAAAAAAUGAUUAAAUAUUAUUGUUGAAAUAAAAAAAUGUUUUCAUUCCUAGCAUGCCAUUAUUAAAAUUUAUUGAAGUAAACUGAUCUAUAAAAAGAUAAAUAAAAAAAUCUUACGAAUAUCAUUUAUCCUUUAUAUGAAAAAAAUAUCUGAAAAUAAAUUGUAACACAGAGUAUAUGGAAAUUGCUUUAAUAAGGGUAUACUCCAAAAAUAAAGAAAACACAGGUCACACAAUUUCAUUCUGUGAAAUUUUUUUAUUUUGAAGAGCUGAAACAUUAAAACAUAUAAGCUAGGCUUCAUUUCCUUCAUAAAAAAAUAGAAUUUUUAGCUCACCUUUCCAAAAGGAAAUGUGAGCUUUUGCCAUCACUUGGCGUCCGUCGUCAUCCGUCCGUCCGUCGUCGUAAACUAUUUCAAAGAUCUUCUCCUCUGAAACUACUGAACCAAUUCAAACCAAACUUCAUCUGAUGAUUCCUGGGUAUCUAGAAUAAAGUUUGUGUUUCAAUUCCCAUUUCAAAAACAUGGCCACCAUGGCUAAAAAUAGAACAUAGGGGUAAAAUGCAGUUUUUAGCUUAUAACUCAAAAACCAAAGCUUUUAGAGCAAAUCUGACAUGCGGUAAAAUUGUUUAUCAGGUCAAGAUCGAUCUGCCCUGAAAUUUUCAGAUGAAUCGGACAACCUGUUGUUUGGUUGUUGCCCCUGAAUUGGUAAUUUUAAGAAAUUUGCUGUUUUUGGUUAUAUCUUGAUAUUAUUAUAGAUGUAGAUAAACUGUAAACAGCAAUAAUGUAAUGCUUGGGGUAUACAAUGUUUUUUUAUACUUUCAUCAUAAAUUAUAUUAUGAACACGAGCAAACGAACAUUCCGUGUGUCCACUCUUGUUUUUGGCUUUGAAAAAAUAUGACAGAAUCGAGAAACAUUAUAUUAUUGAAAACCAAAAUAAUCAUUCAUGGAAGAUUUAAGCAAAAAAUUUAAGGUGAGCGAUUCAGGCUCUUGAGAGCCUCUUGUUUAAUUAUAUUAUUUUAAUUUAACCCACACAUAUGUAAUGAGUAAAUUUGCCUUUAUUUGAAAAGAUGCAAUAAAGGAAAACAUUUCUCUGUAUAAAACAAAUACUUUUUGAAAUGUUAUGCAGAGUUUUUUCCCUUUACAAUGAGGAUUUUAAAAUUUUGUUACAGACGUUAUAUCGCUAUCUAAAACCAUUAAUGAAAUACAGAUUAAAAUUAAAUGUAAUUAUAGAUAUAUUUUUUCUUUAAAAGGAUUAAGAAGAAAUCAUGGUUUCAGGAAAGUUUGCUACAUCUUUUUCAGUUAAUGACCUAUAUAAUAAGAUCUUCAAGUUUAAGAACUGUUUAUAUAAGUCUUACAUUAUAAAGUAAGUGCAGACAUACUAGCCAUUCUGUUAUCCGAAACCAUUGAAGUUUGAUGUCACUAUAAUAAAUAUUUCCAUGGUUUCACUCAGUGACAACAAUUGUAAACUACAAAUCCACUAUGAAUAAGAUAUGAAUAUGAUAAUGACCGCCUAGCUCUCCUAGGACUCCCAGCAAAUGCACAUUGGUUAGAUUGUCUGUGUUUUGUAAUUUAAAGUGUGAGUGAAAUAGCACAAUAUUAUACAAAUGUUAUUUUUUUAUUAUCCAUUAGAGCUUAAAAAGAGAGGCAAAAGAAACAAAAGGAACAAUCAUGUUUAACUCGUAAAAUUGUGGAACUGACAAAUCUUUAUAAGGGGAAUUAUUAAAAAUCUGAUCAAACAAUUAAACUUAUCUUUUUCUUACUUUUAUAUACAUGAUGUUUAUGUUAUAUAAUUACCAGAUUUUUGUUGCUGUCUAUCAAAACAUAGGCUGCUCAGUCAGUCUCAUUAGUAAAUAUUUAAUUAUUUUACAAUUCAUUCUGUACAGAGUGGAGUACUAUUUACUUAUCAAAGCAAGAAUUUUCUGGUCAUUGACAAUAUUAUUCUUGGAAAUACAAUUGAGAAACAGUGAACCUAGAUGAACUCCUUUGAAAUAAAAUGUUCAGGUCCAGUUCAUUCACACCAUCAUGGUACUUCCCUGUUACCAUUACUCUUGUUACUGCUAAUAGUUUUCUAAUAUUUUGAUUAAAUGGACAAUUUUUGAUUAUUUGAGAAAUAAUUUUGAAGUUGAUUGACAGUUUGUACAUUACAGCAGUAUAUAGACAAAAAGAUAUAUUUAAAUUUGGAUGCAUUAUUAUUAUUAUUGUCCUGUAUAAGUAUGUGGUAUUUAUUUGAAUAGUCAGGGUAAAAUUAUACCCCCACUUUAAAAAUAUACUGUUUAACUCUGUCUGCAUGUCAUGCAUCCAUCUUUCAGUCAUCCAUCCAUCCAUUCAUCCAUUCAUCCUUCACUCUGUCCGUCCCAUGAAUAUUUUUUUGUAACAUUUUUCUCAGGAACUACGUCUACUUGACAAGGAUUUCUGAAAUUUGGUUAUAUAAGUCAAGUUAUACCGUGUGAUGGAUUUUUAGAUUCAUUCCUCAACAAUUUCCUGUUAAACCAACACUUUUAUCAUUUUACACAUGAUAGCCAAGUUGAAUAUUUUCGGCCCCACCUUUGAUAUUAGAUGGGCAAUAUGUUUUCUGGUCUAUGUCUCCAUUUGUUCAUCUGUCCCACUACAGGUUAAAGUUUUUGGUCAUGGUAGUUUUGGAUGAAGUUUAGUUCAAUCAACUUCAAACUUAGUACACAUGUUUCCUAUAAUAUGAUCAUUCUUAUUUUAAUGCCAAAUUAGAUUUUUGACCCCACUUUCACCAUCCACCGCCAUGGCUUAAAAAUAGAACAUAUGGUGAAAAGUGUAGAUUUUGGCUUAUAACUCCGAAGUUAGAGCAAAUCUGACAUGGGUAAAAUUGUUUAUCAAGUCAAUAUGUUAUAUAAUCUGCCCUGAAAUUUUCUGUUGAAUAGGACAACAUGUGUGUUGGUUUGCCGCCCCUGAAUUGGUAAAUUUAAGAAAAUUUUGCCCUUUUCAGUUAUUAUCCUGAAUAUUAUUAUUGAGAUAGAGAUAAACUUAAAACAGCAAUAAUCAGCAAAAUGGUGUUAUUGCCAUUUAUAGUCAAUUUUAACAAUUUUCAUAAAUUUUGUAAAUUUUUGUAAAUUUUUACAAAAUGUUUUUCUCUCUACCUACUGGGCAAAGUGCAUUAUAGAUAUAUAUAUAUAUAUUGUUAACAGCAAGAGUGUUCAGUAAAGUAAUAUCUACAAACACAUUACCAUCACCAAAACACAAUUUUGUCAUGAAUCCAUCUGUGUCCUUUGUUUAAUAAUUGCACAUAGACCAAGAUGAGCGACAGAGCCUCUAAAGUUUAGAAUUAUAUAAACUAUACAUUACAGUUUUGGCUGAUUUUUUUCUCUCAAUCAAUACAUUAGUUGCCAAUUAAGUCUGUAUACUAAAUAUUAAUUUACAAAUUACAUAAAAUUUAUAUAUUGCUGUAAUUGGGGAUUUCGUCCCCAUAUUAUUGUGAUUUCCUCAUUUACAACUAAAAUGUGAUUUUUUAUUUUUGCAAUAUUGAGAAAAAUCCUGUUUAAAUUAUAUUAAAUAUUUCAAAAUGCGAGUUUAAAUUAUUGCGAUUAUAAACCUGUCGCAUUUUUAGCAAUAAUGAAAACAUGGCAAUAUAAUUUCUGAAUAUACAGUAGUGUAAGACUUUUUCUCUUCUAGAAUGUCAAAAAUCCUGCUCAACAUGUUCUCAUUCCAAAUAUGCUUAUAAUUUGUCAUUGCUCGUAACUCUGCCAUUGAAAAUCCUAUUAGAAGAAAUUUACUUUAAACGACAAUGAAAAGGUCAAUAUAAAAAACCAUAUAUAUUAAAUUUAUUGUUUUAUUUCAGUAUAAAGUUGCUUCUAGCUUGAGCUGGUAAGGUCAAAGCGAGAAAAGCAAUAGAGUUGAGAUGACCAAUGAUAAUCUGUUUAUCCCUAUUUUACCUAUGAGGACGUUGAUAAUUUCAUGACAAUGGGCACAUGUGUGCUUAGUUUCUAGCAAUAAUUUUCAUAUUAUUAGACUCCACUUUAAAUAAUUAUCAGUCUGCAAAAUCAAAGUAAUAUUUCGUAAAAUAGCAAUAAUAUUAGAUAUAAAAAUGUAUAAAUUUAAAACGAUUUUAAUUUUUAUCACGUUAUCUUAGUGUUGAUUUUAAUUUGUAAAUAAUCAACUUGCUUUAGUCUAGAAUUUUAGUUUAAUGAAGGACCUUUUGUCUGAUUUUAAAGAUUUACUUUAAAUUAUAAAAAUAUUCGAAUGAGCUCUUGCGGCGAUAUAGCCUUUUUGUGUUAAUGUGACGUGAAGCAAACAACAAUCAAUCAAUUAAAAAAAUGUACAUCAGAUUCUGUAAAAGCUUUUAUAUACCCCAAUAACAUUAAAAAAAGAAGCAUUUAAUUUUUGAAUAUACAUUUUUUUUACCAGAUUGUUUACAUCAAUCAAAGCAUAUUUUGUACAUUUAACAUUGUUUAAUGUCUAUUUUAAAUAUUUAUUUUACAAUAAUUUGUGUACAGAUUGGAAAAAUGUCAGGUUGAAAAUAGCAUUUAAUUUAUGUGAACUAGGUUGCUCUUUGCCUUUAGUGUACAUCCUAUGUUAAUCAAUGUAUCUGAACACUGUGAUAAGACAAAAAUACAGAAUCUGUUGAAUAUUUUCUAUAAAUUUUGGAUGUUUUCAUUAGCCACAGAAACAAGUGUGAAAGCAAGGUGUUAAAUACAAAUGCAUUAUUAUCUACCCUUGCUACUGUAUGUGGUAUAGAAAUAGAAAAGUUUGAUAUUUAGGGCAAGCAGUGUUCAGUCUGUACAAAUUAUGAAAGGACUUAUAAUGGUUUAAAAAUUACAAGGUACAGUAGUAAUUUAUUAUGGAUAUUAAUAAUAAUUGAUAGAAAAACUGCAAUGUUUAAUUACAAUUGUUCAGAUGAAGUUGUUGAAAUUUUGUGAAAUAUUUGAGCAGUCAAUUUUCCAGAUUUCAAAAUUAUUUCAGAUUCAAAUAAUUCCUUGUUUAAUAAAUUUUGAUGCAAAACUGCUGAUACUAAUCUUGUUAAUUUUGUUCAAGUCAGGCGCGGAUCCAGAGGGGGGGUUCCGGGGGUUGGAACCCCCUCUUGUUUUGGCCGAUCAAUGCAUUUGAAUGGGAGCAUUGGGAACCCCCCCCCUUUAAAAAUGGCUGGAUCCGCCCCUGCAAGUACAUAUCAUUUAGGUAGUAGUGUGAAAUUGUGAUAUAAUGGGAUAACAAGUGCCUCAUGCCACAAAGAUUAACAAAAUAUGAAGUCAAAAAUUUUUUCUACUUCCUGUUUGCUAUUUGUUUACAAGUCUGCACAACUUCCAGUAAACAGGAUAAUCUUCCUGGUUUGAUUUUUAUUAUCCCCAAAUAAAUGCAACAUGUUUUUUAAAUCUAAAUGUUUCAAUUCAACUUAAACUUUUUAUCAAACAGAAGAAAAAAAAUAUCAGAAAAAUUGGACUAUUUUACUUUCACUCUAUCUUGUCAUAUCUAUGCAGAGUUAUUUCCCCUUAUACUUUUGCCAAAUUUCUUCAUUGUUCUUAUAUCUCUGUCUCAAAUUGUUUUAAAAAAGUAUACAUUGGAAUUGAAUUUGCUUUUAAAGAUAUGUGUAAAAAAAUAUUUCAGAAAUAAACAAGUAUUUAUGAAACUUUGCUAUAUUCAUAUCGGUUAAGGACCUCUAUAUCUUGAGGGACAAUUUAAGUUAACCAUAUAUAAGACUUAUCUGAAGUAGAAACUGCAGACUCACUAGCCAUAGUGUUACAUACGAGCUACACCUUCACCAGCUGAUAAACACUGGGUUAGAGGGGUGUGAAAUGCCGUAUGUGUACAUAGUUGCUGUUCAGUAUUAUAUAUUAUGUAAAUAUUGUAAAAAUGCUCAAAAUAUAAGAACCUACCUCAACAAAUGCACUAUGGUUUAAAUUGUCUGUGUUUUUGCAAAUUUGAAAUGUGAUGGAAUCAUCACUAUGAUAAAAGUUUGUAUCUUAAUUGUUCAUUAUUGCUAUAUAAGUAUUGGUUGAUCAGUGUCUAUGUUUGAUGGUCAGAGCUUUUGUAUACUAUAUAUUUAUAACCAAAAAAACUUUUGUAAACUAUGUCGAAAAAAUUUGUAUAUAUUGCUAUAAAAUUAUCAACCUAGUUAUUCAUAUUGAAUUUGAUCAUUUAUGUUGUAUGUGCACCUCCUCCUUCCUAACUCUGACUUUAGAAACUUCCAUACAGCGGGUUAUUUUUGCGGAUGUAAAAUUUCGCGAUAAACCUUGAAUAAGGAAUUUAUUUUGGCAAUGUUGUUCUAUCGGCGGAAAUUUUCACCCUGCGAAAAUAACCCGCUCGCUAUACGGUAUGUGUUGCAUAACUAUUAUGUUUAACAGGUAAACAGUAAUACGUUUAUAAUUUGUCAUUGCUUGGAAUUUCGCCUUUGAAAAUCUUUAUGUUAGGAGGAAUUUUUCUUUUAGCGAUAAAAAGAGCCUUCAAUUAAAAAUGACCAUAUAUCUAAAUUUAUUGUUUUAUUUUCAGUCCAAAGUGCAGGACAGAGUUCUCACAGAUCGAGUGCCCAACCAGAUACACAUGUUUUUGUGAGAAGGUUAUAGAACCAAAGUUUGACCCAUGGUUAGUGCCACAUUCUUGUGGCCAGACUUGUGGCAAAAAGUUAAAACCAGAGUGUGGCCACACAUGCUUACUUCUUUGUCAUCCAGGUAAUGAAAAUAUUUAGAGAUUAUAAAAAUAUUUAUGUUUAGAGAUUAUAAAAAUAUUUAUGUUUAGAGAUUAUAAAAAUAUUUAUGUUUAGAGAUCAUUAAAAUGUUUAGGGAUUAUAAAAAUAUUUAUGUUUAGAGAUUAUAAAAAUAUUUAUGUUUAGAGUAUUUAGUUUAGAGUUAAAUUUAGGGAUUAUAAAAUAUUUAUGUAGAUAUUAACCCUUUCCUCCAUUAAAAUUAUUUUUUAACACACUUGAUUCACAUAGGAUUUUUUCUAAAAAAAAAAAUCAUCAGGUUUAAAGUAUUAACAUGCAUUUGUAAAACAUGUAUUUCAUCAAUGAAAUUCAAGUCAGAUAUUCUCAUGAAUAUCCUUUUUAUAUUAGAUACAAAUAUUAUUAAGUCUGAUUCAGAUUUGUCUUAGGUAAGACGUUUCAACUGAGGCACUACACAGGCAUCAAAAGGCGUCAUUAUGGAGUAAAGGGGUGGCGUCAAAAGGCGUCAUUAUGGAGGAAAGGGUUAAGAUGUUUAGGGAUUAUAAAAUAUUUAUGUUUAGAGAUCAUUAAAAUGUUUAGGGAAAAUAAACACAUUUAACCAAUCUUCCACGUAUCGAUCUCAAAUGCAUGAAAGAAAAUACCAAAGGGACAAUCAAUACCAUAUUUACCAAUAAAAAACAUAACCAAAACAAAAUAGAUGAAGAGGCAGACAGCUGUCCUCAAACUACAAAUUAGAAAAACUGAAUAUUGAGCAACAUGAUGCCCAACAAAAUAAUCAAGGAUGAAAUCAGGUGCUCUGAAAAUUUCUGCUCCUCUACUGAUAUUCACCAUGUUACUUAUAUUUAAAAUGUUGAUAAGUCAAUCAUAUCCAUUUCUAAAGAAUCUCAUAUCAGUGGAUUGUCACAUGCCUCUUGUAUAACCUUAAGAGAUCACCAAAUUCAUAACCCAUGGGUACUAAUGGGUUGUUUUAACCAUAGACAUUGACCAUAGAUGAAAGUUUGUAAGGUAUGAAGGUUUUUGAGGAUAGAAGCCUGUAAGAAAACACGACAAGAUUAAUAUCUAAUGCAACAGUUUGUACGUCAUUUUGAUUGGAUAACUCAUUUCUUACAUGGCAUCAUUGACAAUUGAUGCUAUGGGACGUACGCGCAAGCGUAGACGGCAUAUAACAGAUUUUAAAUAUAUGUUUUAACGUUGUUUUCUGUCAGUUUCAUUUUAGAUUUGAUGGUCGCAAAUACUCGUUUACUGUCUCCGUAACGGUCCCAGUAAACUUAAUUUGCGACCAUCAAAUCCCCAAUUGAUGCCGUCGGAGCUUAAAAUACAAUACAGUUAUCUCCUAAAUAAAAUAAAAUAAAUCAUACAUUGUAUGUUGAUAUUCAAGAUUGCGACUUUUAAGUUUUGUUUUUGUAAAACUUCAAUUAUGAACAUGAGGUGUCUUAUCUACAUAAUAAAACAAACAAAAACUCAUCUAAUAAAGGAGUAGGUCCGGUAAGGGCGCAAUUUGGCCUCAAAUUUCAGGUUCAUCUAACGAAAGAUUUUGGACACUUUUUAAACACUUAAGUGUCUAUUUCAAUUGAUUCAAUUAGUUUAUGUAAAAGAUUUGAACUGAUUUAGUCAUUAAAAAUGCUCCAAUUCAAGCUUAAAAAUGAAAAAUCUAUCAAAUAUGCCAAAAACAUCACUUUUCAGAUGUUUUUUGUCAAAAAUGAAAGUGGCUGCAUCCGUGUUCAUCCUCAAUCUAUAUAUAUAUAUGUUAUGUAUUAUCACCAAAUACAACUUACAUUUCAAUAUUAUGAAUGAACACAAAUGUGGCCACUUUCAUUUAAGACUGAAACCGUUUAAAAUAUAAAUAAAAUGCUAAAAUUGUGAAGAUUUCAGUAAUUUAGCAUGACUUAAUGAUGCUAGUACCCGAUAUAUGUGCAUUGUAUUGUCAAAAAUAUCCCAUAUUUAUGUAGCAGAAGCAUUCUACUUUCAAGUAAAUAGCUAAAAGAUUUCAUUUUCACAAUUUUGUAAAACUGCUAUAUUUUGGGGCCAAAAAGGGGUCUUACUGAACCUACUCCUUUUGGUACACAAAAUGUAUUUGUUCAAGUUCAGCAGUUAACUGUCAAAAUAUUCAUUCACCAACUCAAUGAAUGCUACUUCAUUAUAACAUUAAACAUACUUACUGUCUGAAAAUAAAGGUAAAAAUGAAUUAAAUAUACAAUUAUAUCAUGUUUAGGUCCGUGUCCACCCUGUCCAAAGACAGUUCGUGUCACAUGUUAUUGUCAGAAACAGUCUCCUCAGAUCAAACGAUGUAGUGCCAGGACUUGGUCUUGUGGUCAGCCAUGUGGUCAUCAGCUAACCUGUGGUCAACAUAGAUGUCAGGACCCUUGUCAUUCAGGUAAGAUUGAUAGCAAAGAAGUUUUUGUAUGGUCAGGCUAGGUCUGCACUCACUAACCGUGAAAGGGCUAAACAGCCAUUCAAUUUUGUUAAAUAUACCUUAUCACUAUUUAUCGGCCAUUACUGGACAUCAGUCAUCACAUCCUGUAAAAUUUUGACGUCAUUGAUACAAAUAUUUGAAGCCACAAAAAAAAAAGUGAUUGCUUUUGAGGGCAAUUGUUCAAGCGGCGCAGAUUCUCCGAUCAACCAGGGCAGAUUUCCAAGUAGUGAUAAGUUUAAUCCCACAUAGUAGAAUGUCACCUACAGUUUUUUGUCGAGCCUGCAACUUUUGUUGCAGAAAGCUCAACAUAGGGAUAGUGAUCCGGCGGCGGCUACGGCGGCGGCGUUAGCUCACUUCUUUAAAGCUUUAUAUUUUAGAAGGUGGAAGACCUGGAUGCUUCAUACUUUGUAUAUAGAUGCUUCAUGUUACGAAGUUUCCGUCAGUCACAUGUCCAAUGUCCUUGACCUCAUUUUCAUGGUUCAGUGACCACUUGAAAAAAAAGUUCAAAUUUUUUGUAAUGUUGAAUUCUCUCUUAUUAUAAGUAAUAUGAUAACUAUAUUUGAUAUGUGCGUACCUUGCAAGGUCCUCGUGUCUGUCAGACAAUUUUCACUUGACCUCGACCUCAUUUCAUGGAAUAGUGAACAAGGUUAAGUUUUGGUGGUCAAGUCCAUAUCUCAGAUACUAUAAGCAAUAGGGCUAGUAUAUUCGGUGUAUAGAAGGACUGUAAGGUGUACAUGUCCAACUGGCAGGUGUCAUCUGACCUUGACCUCAUUUUCAUGGUUCAGUGGUUAUAGUUAAAUUUUUGUGUUUUGGUCUGUUUUUCUCAUACCAUAUUCAAUAGGUCUACUAUAUUUGUUGUAUGGAAUGAUUGUUAAGUGUACAUGUCUAACGGGCAGAUGUCAUGUGACCUUGACCUCAUUUUCAUGGUUCAGUGGUCAAAGUUAAGUUUUUGAGUUUUGGUCUUUUUAUCUAAUGCUAUAUGCCAUAGGGCAACUAUAUUUGGUCUAUGGAAAUAUUUUAUGAUCUUUAUGUCAGUCGAGCAAGUGUUAUUUAACCGUGACCUCAUUUUCACGGUUCAUUGCACAGUGUUAAGGUUUUGUGCUUUGGUCUAUUUUUCUUAAACUAUAAGUAAUGUGUCAACUAUAUAAUAUGUUGUAUAGAAGCAUUGUUAGCUGUACCUGUCUGCCUGGCACGGUUCAUCUGACCUGGACCUCUUUUUCAAGGUUCAUUGGUCCUUGUUUAGUUAUUUUGGUUAAUGUUAAGUUUAUGUGACAGUUGUAAUAAAGCUUAGCUUUAUACUUAGGACUAGCAACAUAAUAUCAAUGAUUAGUAUAGAAGGCGAGACAUUUCAGCGUGUGCACUCUUGUUUAGAAUAAAGAUCAUGUGACUGUUGGAACCUCCUCUUACAGGCAUAAGUUGUCUUCAUGUUUAUUUACAAUUGCAUUUUAUAUUUUGUAUGCUUAUGCAUAAACACAGAAAUUAUACAACUAUAGAAUGCUGUGGUUUCAUUAGUAUUUGUAGGAUAUUAAUUAUCAUUGACAUUGUGGGGUUAGUUUCAGUGAAUUACAAUGUACAUAUUUAGAACUGCAAUGCAGUACAAAUUUUCUAUAGGCUUUCAAAACAGACUUUGUCAAAACCAUAAAAUCAAAUAUCCUCCAAAUACAUCUUUUUCUCAAGCAAGGAAAAAUUGGAACACAUAAAAAUAAAUGAAUCUGGAAUUCUAGAAUGUGUGAUAUCAUGAAAAAAAAACUAGAUAUGAGGAUAUCUCUCCACUAUGAGUCUACAAAUUAAUUAGGUGUGUAUUUCAUGGUUUGGAAGUAAUUUCUUGCAUGGUACAGUAAAACAUUAAGAAUUUUUUUUUAAAAAGAAGCAUAUGAAAGAGAGAAAUAUAAAUAAGAAUAGACUUAGGAUAAACUUCAAUGAGACAGCUACCUAACAAAGUUUACAUCAAUAGGUUAGUAGCACCUUCAGUGAUGGUUAGUGGCAGUGAUGGACAGGUUAGUAUGAAUUAGAUUUUUGUGGGAGUGAUUUACUUUGGAACUUGAAUAACAGCCACCAAAUAAAUCAAAACAUGCCCACUUGUAUUUUUGUCCAUCUGAUGAGUUAAGCCUUUUUCAACUGAUUUUUAUAGUUCGUUCUUAUGUUGUACUGUUAUAACCACUGUCCCAGGUUAGGGGAGGGUUGGGAUCCCGCUAACAUGUUUAACCCCGCCACAUUAUUUAUGUAUGUGCCUGUCCCAAGUCAGGAGCCUGUAAUUCAGUGGUUGUCGUUUGUGUAUGUGUUACAUAUUUGUUUUUCGUUCAUUUUAUUUUAGUUUUUUAGUUUUCUCGUUUGAAUUCUUUUAUAUUGUCUUAUCGGGGCCUUUUAUAGCUCACUAUGUGGUAUGGGCUUUGCUCAUUGUUGAAGGUCGGACGGUGACCUAUAGUUGUUAAUGUCUGUGUCAUUUUGGUCUUUUGUGGAUAGUUGUCUCAUUGGCAAUCAUACCACAUCUUCUUCUUUAUACUUAAAUAUAUUCCAAUACUUUACCUUUGCAUUCAAUGGCCAUGAUUAUAAUUGGUAUGUGAUACUGCAAUUAACCGAUAUUUGUAUCAUUUUUUCAGGGGACUGUCAACCCUGUACAAAGACAAGUAAACAGAAAUGUAUGUGUUUAAAAUCAGUGGCUGUGAGAGAAUGUGCCACUCCUCAGUGGCAAUGUGAUGAGGUAAUAAUAUAUAUUUGUGAUUUGUAUUGCGAUCGGCACAAGGCAAUGAGAUUAUGGCAAUUUCAUUGGUGAAAGGGCAAGCAUACUAAAGCUAGAUUUUUUUAGAGAGCUGAGCAGUAUAUAGAUCUAUGGAAUUAUAAUGAAGUGUCUGAAUUCAUUAUAACUACAUCUAGUGCAAGCAUUGAGGCUAAUUCUUAUAAUAUGAUACCAGUGGGUCAAUAUCUUUUAAAUUUAGAUUUCAUUUUUAAACUUUCAAUAAAAGGUUUAGGUUUGACAAAAAUAUUUUGUCAAUUGUAUUAUGACCAAAAUUCAGAAAAUUAUUUAUACAUUUAGCGCACAUAAUUUUCAUUCUAUAAGUUACUUUUAUAUAUUUGUGCAAACAAUAACUUAAUAUUUUGCAGCCAUGUGGAAAGAGACUUGCAUGUGGUAACCAUGUUUGUGAAAAAGUUUGUCAUGGUGGAAAUUGUGGACCUUGUCCAAGAUCUGGACUAAGAAAAUGCCCUUGUGGGAAAACAGGUAAGUCUAGACCAAAGAUGUGCUGUAAAAUAUGGACCUUGUCUAACAUUUACAUGAGAAAACACUGUGAAAUUGUGCAGGAAAAAGUUGACCUUGUCCAAUAGUUGGGCUCACUAAACUCCCAUGUUGAAGAACUAAAAAAAAGGAGAGAAAUAUUAUUUUUUAUCUGCAAUACUAGCAAAUUAUAUACAUACAUACAAUAUAUAUUCAAAAAUAAACAUGUGUAAGUAUAUUAAUUAACAUUCAGCAAAUAUUUCUUUCAUUUAAAUGCACAACAUGAGAAAUAUUUGGAUUGAUUGUAAAAAAGGAUUAAACAAUCAUGAUAACAGUUUUUAUUUAAGAUUUUCUGUAAAAAUAUGAAAUUUUCUUUUUUGAGAUAACAUUUUUGUUCCCAAGUUUGAGAAUGUUUUCUUACUCUCUUUGUUUGGGUUUUGAAUUGUUGGAAAAUAUCUACCCCGAUGAUGAAUCUAAACAAUCCUAUUUCUUUGACAGUAUUUUUAGUUUUGGUUUAACUAUAUUUACAGAGGAUUCACUGCCUUGCACUGAGGACAUUCCAACAUGUGGAGAUACCUGUGGUAAAAUGUUGGAUUGUGGGAUACAUACUUGUCCAGAAAGAUGUCAUACUGGAUCUUGUGGCAAGGUAAGGAUUGUGGGAUACAUACCUGUCCAGAGAGAUGUCAUACUGGACCUUGUUGCAAGGUAAGACCUGGAAAAAAUCAUGUUCAUAUUUUUAUUCAUUGUCGUGUAACAUGUGUAAUCAAUGAACACUCUAACUGACAGUACAACAUGUAGCUUAUUUACAUAAUUAUUUCUACAGCAAAUAGUUGGCAAAUGUCAAAUUUGUAUUCCCUACUUUCAAAUGCAGUUGUAUUAUACACAAAAUAAAUCUAUGAACCACAUGUACUGGUAUGUACUGUAAAUUCAGAUAUUAUUGCGAGGAUUUUAUUAAUGCGAAUAAUGCAACAAGGUGAGUAUUGCAAUAAUUAGAAAUCGCAUGCAGAUAUCUGAUACCUACAUGAAUAAGUAUGCAGAUUUUCCUGAACUCGCAAUAAAUAGUCUUGCAUUUUUGUCCAUUCCUAAAAAAUCGCAAUAAUAAAUACAUGCAAUAAUUUCUGAAUCAAUUGACAAUUUUUUAUACCCACAUUUCUUUGAAUUUUUAAAGCAAUUGCUUUUAUGCUAUCGCGUAUGGCCAUCUUUGUGACCAAUCAGAGACUCCGCCCAUAUCAAGCCAUAGUAUUUUGUUAAACAGGCUCCUGGUCUGUCAUUCUUUAACACCUAUGUAUGUUAUCUAAUGCAAUAAUAGCUUGAAACUUUAAAAAAACGUUAGUGGAUUUAAGAAGUUUCAAAAUAUGUUCUUGUAGAUGUAUUUUUGUAUUUAAAGGGUCAACCGUUUGACUAUCAAAUAACUCAGAAGUCCGAGUGAAAAAAAGUACAUUUUUAUAACUGCGAUUCCGUUUUCCGCCGUUCGUACGAUGUUUCAACAAAAUAUGGAUUCAUUUCAGUUGUUGAUUUAGUAUUGAAAAUUUAAAAACUGAAUUAUCUCCUAUUAAAUACGGUUUUAUAUGUUUAAUUUGUGUUUCUUUAAGAGGUCAGGUGCUCUUGUUCAUUCAUAAAAUUAUCGUUCAUUCAUACAUUUAUCGUAAAAUCAAAAUCACUACACAGGUUAAUGCGUAGUGUCAAAUGAUUACCUGUAAUCUAAAAAUAGACAAACUUUGUUUGCGCAAAUAAUUUUAGCGGACGAAACCCUUGUUGAAAACACAUAACAAUAAGUUCGUUUUCCUUUUCUGUCAAAACUCCGUAAUAUUUAUCGAUCACCUUACUAAUGAAAUGGACCCGUCCAAACGUAGUAGACGCCAAGUCGGUCCAGAUGAGAGAUAUUUCAAUUUGGAAUUUUCUAGUUACAUAGAUUGAAAAAAAGUACGUCUUUUUAAAUAUCAUGAUCAAAACUGGGCAUGCAUAACAAAUGUCAGAUGAAACCAUUAUCCUCGUCUCUUCAGUGAACAAGUCUACUACGUUUGUUAAAACUCGACGGUCCACCGUGUUAGCAAUUUUAUUUCACAUGUUUUCGAAAUAUUGAAGAUCAUUUUUCGCAAUGUUUCCUGAAAAUUGAUAAAUGUCAAAGCAACGUAGAGCUGUUUGUUCUGUUCGUAUAAAAAAUUGAGAAUGGAAAUGGGGAGAUUAUGUGUCAAAGAGACAACAACCCGACCAUAGAAAAACAUACAACAGCAGAAGGUCACCAACAGGUCUUCAAUGCAGCGAAAAAUUCCCGCACCCGGGGGCGUCCUUCAACUGGCCAUAAACAAUACAUAUACUAGUUCAGUGAUAACGAUUUAAUGUCAUGUUUGUCUGUGAUGACCCCCUUUUUCGGGAUUGCAUGAUAAUUAUAGUUAUCUCUUACCCACAUGCACUUGUUUCUAUCCAUAGGAAGGUCGACUAUCAUAUAAAACUAUUUUGGAUAGAAACAAGUGCUGUGCUCGUACCGCAUCAGAAGGACAUACAUGUAUAUCAACUGAGCAAUAAUGUUGGAACUUAGUUUUUAAAAAUGAUGACAAAGUACCAUUAUGAAAAUAUUUUUAUUAAGCUGAAACAUACAUUUAUUCUUUACAUGUUUAUGUCUUGUAAGAUAUUUUAUUUCUUUCCCGUUUUUUAACAUUUGCGUCUGGAAAGUUGAAAUGUUUUAACUUAAUCAUUUGUGUUAAGGGUUAAAUAUAAAUUAAUAAUGAAAAUUAUUAAAAUUAAAUCAAUAAAGGAAAUUAUUGCCCAGUUACAAACACUACCAGGGGAUAAUCCAUGAUGAUUUCUUUUUGAGUUAUAUGUUUCAGCACAUGUAUAUUUUCCCCAACUUUAGCCUGGUAAACGUGUUUUCUCCUUGUGAGAUAUAAAACAUAUUAAAAAUGACUUUCUGCUAAAGUCUUUUAUUUAUAUAAAGUUAAAACCUUCUUACUUCUAACUAGACAACACUCAUGUCAGGUUUAAUUAUUAUAUAUAAGUCCCCAAACAUUAACAUGACAGCAAUUGCUUUUACAGCCUUUAAGGCUUUGAUUUGUCAUUGUUGUAUAGUAAGCAGGGUUUCAAUUUUCUGACAUUUUUUCUUUUUUCCUAGUGCUUAAAUGUUGCGACAAAGACCUGUUUAUGUGGACAAAGAAAGAAAGAAUUGCCAUGUUAUAAAGAUUAUCAUUGUGAGACAAGAUGUACCAGAAUGAGGGAUUGUGGGAAGCAUCAGUGUCGGAGAAAGGUAAAAAUACAUGUUUAACAAACUUUUACGAACUGCCAGCCAAAAAAUCUGAUGGUAUGAAAUUGCAGGGCAUUUGAAAUUCUAGUUCCGUAAAGGAGGAAAUCUUUUAAUUUAUUUAGCCAUGUAAAAAAUGGUGGUAUUAGGACAAGUUUAGGGAGGGUCAGUAUUGGCCCUCUAAUUCCAUGAAAUUUAAAUUUGAAUGCAGCAAUAAAAUUAAACAUCUGAUGGCAAAAUAUUUAAAAAUAUCGGACAAAUAAAAAAGUUUUGACUCAUAAAACACUUAUUUCAUAAUGAGGUUAAAAUUAAGCAUUCACAUUUGAUUAGAUUAUUGCUUCAAACAAAAGAUACCGCAUCCAUAAGUUUUUGUAAGUAUUUAUAUAUCAAAUCUAUUAGCAGUAAAACCUGCCUUAAUGACCACCUAGUUUACAACUUCAUUAUUAUUUUCAUGUUUCAAAAGAAAAUUGGAAAAAGAGAGUGUGUUUUAACCUUGUUUCCACCAAUAUAAAUUUCAUUAUAUAUUUUCAGUGUUGUGAUGGGAAUUGUUCUCCUUGUGAACAGACUUGUAACAAACCACUUGGCUGUAAAACUCAUAAAUGUGCAAGUCGUUGUCACCCUGGUAAGUCGUUAGACAAUUUAUAGUGCCAGGUUCUCUCAUAAAACUGUAAUCAGUACUUGGAAUUACCAAGGACUAAAAGAAGCACCAAAUCCAGUAUUUUGAUUGGUUGAAUUCUGAUUCUGAUUCCUUUAAUUGUGCUCAUGAUUUGUAUACCCUGUAGGCCUUGUAAGACAUAUGACAAUUCAAAAGUAAAGAUAUUCUUUUUGGGUUUCUUGAAAUUAAAAAUUUGUAGCCAUUCGUCUUUCUUGAGAUGAUCCAUAUAUAUUCUUAAAUACAUAAAAAAAUUUGACUGAAAUCACCAAACAACUAGAAAGUAUUCUAGUCAUGUUGAUAGUUUAAUUGUUGUUUUUUAAUGUCCAGUGGCAAAUAUUUCAUUGAUAGUUUUAUUAUUCUUAGAAGGUAUUCUGGCUAAAUAUCACACACUUAUAUUAAUCAGUGUCAUUUAUUUCAACUUUAAUAUUGAUAGUAGAAAAAUAACCAGUUUUCAUUUUCUGUCAUCAUUUUGUACAUUAAUAUUGCAUGUAUUACCUAAUAAAGUUAUAUAUACAUAUCUCUUUUCCAUUUCUAGGUCGUUGCUACCCAUGUUCGAAUACAGUAGAGUUAACCUGCAAUUGUAAAAUGGCAAGGAUAACAGUACCGUGUGGAAGAGAAAAGAUCACCAAACCUCCGAGAUGUCACCAAAAGUGUAGGUCAGUAGUCUAAAUAAAAAAGGGGGGAGUACUGUAAACUAACAUAUUUUUGAGGAUACUUUUUUUCAUGUUUAGCCCUUUCAAGUCCACUUCAUGAUGAAUUAGUUUCAUGGUUAUCUAAUUUACUUGAUGUAGUUAAAUAAGAGAAGAUCCAAGUUAUACACAUUCACAACUUUUUAAAUUCCCGUUAAUUAUUUCUAUUCGCCAAAGAUGUGAAAAUAAAUAGUUAGUUUACAGUAUUUAGCACUCAAAUUCUAAAAAUGAUUCCAUAAAAGUAUUAUUAUCUAUUGAUGACUCAAUUUUGUGUGCUUAUUUCCUGAUUCAAAAAGAAAUUACAUUUUGGUGGACUGCUGGGAAUUAAUCUUGAAAGGGCUAAUUGAAAGAAAAGGUAUCUCAAAAUUAGUAGGUUAAAUACACCAAAACUCUUUGUAGGUUAUGUAUGUUAGUUGUUAUUUUGUCUUUCCUCAUUUUAGGAGACCACCAUUAUGCCACCAUCCUGCCACAAUACCACAUGCUUGCCAUUUUGGGGAAUGCCCACCUUGUAGACUUCAAUGUUUAAAGAAGUUGUCUCCGUGUUCUCACCCUUGUCCUAUGAUGUGUCACUCAGCAGUCAAGGUCAAGAUUAAAGAAAAUGUAAGUCUGGGAUUCGAAAAAAACAUAAAAUGUAAAAAAGCCAUGGUCAGAGACAUUGUAAAAGGUUAUCAUUUAGGAGAUAACUGUAUUGUAUUUUAAGCUAUGAUGGCAUCAAUUGGGGAUUUGAUGGUCGCAAAUUAAGCUUACUGGCGACUUGUUUGCGGAGACAGCAAACAGGUAUUUGCGACCAUCAAAUCCCAAAUUGAUGCCGUCGAAGCUUAAAAUACAAUAAUGUUAUCUCCAUUCUAAUGAAACUGACAGAAAACAACAUUAAAACAUGUAUUUGAAAUCAGUCAUAUGCUGUAGGCGCUUGCGCGUACGUCCCAUAGCAACAAUUGUCAAUUGUAAGAAAGUGACGUUAUCCAAUCAAAAUGAACGUUACAAAUGUUGUUGCAUUAGAAUAAGAAAUUUCAAGGUCAAAAUGAUUUAAAAUAUCAAGAUGAUGUUUCAUUUAUUUGAAAUUUGUAUUUUAAAGAAAGUUAUUUUGACAAUUUGUGGAUGUCUGUUUUCACAAGGUUACUGAUGAGUUGCAUUUUAUUGAUUAUAAUAAAAACAUUCAGUAUGCCCUCUCUAUGAUAGGGCCUUAUUGGCUGAGUGAUCAUAGUAGUUCAUGUACUAGAAUGUCAACUCUGAAGUUGUGAGUUUGACCUGCAAAUGGUAUCUGCAUUUGACCCCAUUCUAACUUGACUAGUAUUGUGAGUUUUUUCCUGGAAUAUGGUCACUGGUUCUCAAAAAGGCAAUCCAAAUCCUCCACCAAUAAAAACUGACAGCAACAAUACACCCAAUAUGUAGAGAGGCCGUUAAACAGUAACAAUCAAUCAAUCAAUCAUCCUUAGUUUGAUAUUAGACUAUGAUUUCAAAUUUGUCAUGAAAAAUAUGCAGAGAAAUUUUUUUUACAAAUUUAGUUAUUUGCUCAUAUUUGGAUGGAUUCUUGUGUCAGAAACAUUUUACAUGCACUUUUAGAAUAUUUUGAAUAUAUUUCAUGACGUUUAAGGAAGCUCAAGGGUAUAAAAAUUUCAGAAAAAAAUCAAACAUUUGUUUUUCAUUACAAAUUUUAUUUUUUUUCCUUUUGUAGUUGUUACUUAUCAUAUGGUACAAAAUCAUUCAAAAUAAUUCGUGUGGCCCAGAUGACUUUCAAAAGGUAUCAUCAUUGAAAAGUUCAAAUUAUUAUCUGCUUUGGUGGAAAUGCAUUUUUUGCUCUAAAAUUGAAAUAUCUUUUUCAACUCAUCGGGACUAUCUUUUUUAAUUAAUUUCCAUAUAAACUGUACUUAAACUAAAUAAUUGUAAAAUUUAAGCGAUUUUGUAAUAAUUUCUUUUUUUUUUUUGAUAUUCCUUUAUUUCUCCUAUUACUUCAAAAGAAAAACCCUUUACAAAAAUGUAUGCUUCUUUCGAAGGCAGAUUGUGAGCGCAAAUGAACAGUGAUCCACUUUUUUAUUUAUUUUUCUAUUAACUAUAGAUAAAGUUCAUUUAUAGAAAAAUACAGAUUGAAAUCUAUAUAAUGAUUUGACCGCGAACCCCCUUAAUAAUCAUUUUAUCAUUGUUAUAGAUGAAUCUGCAUAUCAUUAUUUAUGAUCUUUGUAUUUCAGCUAAAUGUUGCUGGACCUUGGGAAGGAAGACCAACAAUCAGAGAGGAAAUUCACGACAAACCUUGUCCACCCUGUAAAGUACCUAUAACUAUACAAUGUUUGGGAUUACAUGAGGUAUGUGUUUCUGUCCACCCUAAAGUACCUAUAGAAUACAAUGUGUGGGAUUAACAUGAGGUAUGUGUUUCUGUCCACCUGUAAAGUACCUAUAGCUUAUACAAUGUGUUGGGAUUAAUGAGGCUAAUGUGGUUUCUGUUCACUUAGUACCUAUAGCUAUACAAUGUUUAGGAUUACAUGAGGUAUGUGUUUUUGUCCACCUGUAAAGUACCUAUACUAUACAAUGUUGGGAUUACAGAGGUAUGUGUUUCUGUCACCUGUAAAGUACCUACAGCUAUACAAUGUUGGGAUUACAAGAGGUAUGUUUUCGUCACCUGUAAAGUACCUAUACUAUACAAUGUUGGGAUUACUGAGGUAUGUGUUUCUGUCCACCCUGUAAAGUACCUAUGCUUUACAAUGUUUGGGAUUACAUAGUAUGUGUUUCUGUCCACCCUGUAAAGUACUAUAGCUAUACAAUGUUUGGGAAUACAUGAGGUAUGUGUUUCUGUCAACCUGUAAAGUACCUAGGAAUACAAAGUUUGGGAUUACAUGAGGUAUGUGUUUCUGUCACCUGUAAGUACUAUAGCUAUACAAUGUUUGAUUACAUGAGGUUGUGUUCUGUCCACCUGUAAAGUACUAUAGCUAUACAUGUUGGGAUUAAUGAGUAUGUUUUUCCUGUAAAAGUAGUUAAGAUACAAUGUUAGGAUUACAUGAGGGUAUGUGUUUCUUCGUAAGUACCUAGCUUAUAAUGUUAUUACUUGAGUAUGAGGUUGUUUCUGUCACCCUGUAAAGUACUAUAGUAUACAAUGUGUGGGAUUAAUGAGGUAAUCCUUUAUAAAGUACCUAUAGCUAUACAAUGUGUGGAUUACAUGAGGUAUGUGGUGUUUUGUCUAAAGUACCUAUAGCCACCCUGUAAAGAUUACAUGAGGUAUGUGUUUCUGUCCAUAGUACUAUAGCUAUACAAUGUUAGGAUUACAUGAGGUAUGUGUGUGUCACCCCACUUAAACCUGUACCUACAUGUUAUUGGGAUUACAUGAGGUAUGUUUGGGAUACAUGAGGUAUGUUUCUGUUCUGUCCACCUGUAAAAGUACCUACAUGUGUUAUGUCCACCAUGUAAAGUACUAUAGCUAUACGGAUUGUGGUUACAUGAGGUAUGUGUUCUGUCCCGUGUAAAGUACCUAUAGCUAUACAGUGUUUGGAUUAUGAGUAUGUGUUUCUGUCACCCUGUAAAGUACCUAUAUACUAUUACAAUGUGUUUCUGGGAUAUACAUGAGGUAUGUGUUUCUGUCCACUGUAAAGUACUAUAGUGGGAACAGGUAUGUUGGGGAUUACAGGGGAUGAGGUGUUUUCUGUCACCUGUAAAGUACCUAUAGCAUACAAGUUUGGAUUACAUAAGGUAUGUGUUUUGUCCACCUGUAAUAGUUUUGAAUUAAUGAGGUAUGUGUUUCUCACCUGUAAAGUACCUAUAGCUAUACAUGUUUGGGAUUACAUGAGGUAUGUGUUUCUGUCCACCCUGUAAAGUACCUAUAGCUAUACAAUGUUUGGGAUUACAUGAGGUAUGUGUUUCUGUCCACCCUGUAAAGUACCUAUAGCUAUACAAUGUUUGGGAUUACUAACCUGUCCAAAGUACUAUAGCUAUACAAUGUUGGGAUUACAUGAGGUAUGUGUUUCUGUCCACCCCUGUAAAGUACCUAUAGCUAUACAAUGUUUGGGAUUACAUGAGGUAUGUGUUUCUGUCCACCCUGUAAAGUACCUAUAGCUAUACAAUGUUUGGGAUUACAUGAGGUAUGUGUUUCUGUCCACCCUGUAAAGUACCUAUAGCUAUAACAAUGUUUGGGAUUACAUGAGGUAUGUGUUUCUGUCCACCCUGUAAAGUACCUAUAGCUAACAAUGUUUGGGAUUACAUGAGGUAAUGUGUUUCUGUCCACCCUGUAAAGUACCUAUAGCUAUACAAUGUUUGGGGAUUACAUGAGGUAAUGUGUUUCUGUCCACCCUGUAAAGUACCUAUAGCUAUACAAUGUUUGGGAUUACAUGAGGUAUGUGUUUCUGUCCACCUGUAAAGUACCUAUAGCUAUACAAUGUUUGGGAUUACAUGAGGUAUGUGUUUCUGUCCACCCUGUAAAGUACCUAUAGCUAUACAAUGUUUGGGAUUACAUGAGGUAUGUGUUUCUGUCCACCCUGUAAAGUACCUAUAGCUAUACAAUGUUUGGGAUUACAUGAGGUAUGUUUUCUGUCCACCCUGUAAAGUACCUAUAGCUAUACAAUGUUUGGGAUUACAUGAGGUAUGUGUUUCUGUCCCCCUGUAAAGUACCUAUAGCCUAUACAAUGUUUGGGAUUACAUGAGGUAUGUGUUUUUCUGUCCACCCUGUAAAGUACCUAUAGCUAUACAAUGUUUGGGAUUACAUGAGGUAUGUGUUGUUUCUGUCCACCCUGUACAGUACCUAUAGUAUACAUGUUUGGGAUUACAUGAGGUGUGUGUGUUUCUGUCCACCCUGUAAAGUACCUAUAGCUAUACAAUGUUUGGGAUUACAUGAGGUAUGUGUUUCUUGUCCACCCUGUAAAGUACCUAUAGCUAUACAAUGUUUGGGAUUACAUGAGGUAUGUGGUUUCUGUCCACCCUGUAAUAAGUACCUAUAGCUAUACAAUGUUUGGGAUUACAUGAGGUAUGUGUUUCUGUCCACCCUGUAAAGUACCUAUAGCUAUACAAUGUUUGGGAUUACAUGAGGUAUGUGUUUCUGUCCCACCCUGUAAAGUACCUAUAGCUAUAUACAUGUUUGGGAUUACAUGAGGUAUGUGUUUUCUGUAAAGUACCUAUAGCUAUACAAUGUUUGGGAUUACAUGAGGUAUGUGUUUCUGUCCACCCUGUAAAGUACCUAUAGCUAUAACAAUGUUUGUGGGAUUACAUGAGGUAUGUGUUUCUGUCCACCCUGUAAAGUACCUAUAGCUAUACAAGUGUUUGGGAUUACAUGAGGUAUGUGUUUCUGUCCACCCUGUAAAGUACCUAUAGCUAUACAGUGUUUGGGAUUACAUGAGGUAUGUGUUUUCUGUCCACCCUGUAAAGUACCUAUAGCUAUACAGUGUUUGGGAUUACAUGAGGUAUGUGUUUCUGUCCACCCUGUAAAGUACCUAUAGCUAUACAGUGUUUGGGAUUACAUGAGGUAUGUGUUUCUGUCCACCCUGUAAAGUACCUAUAGCUAUACAAGUGUUUGGGAUUACAUGAGGUAUGUGUUUCUGUCCACCCUGUAAAGUACCUAUAGCUAUACAGUGUUUGGGAUUACAUGAGGUAUGUGUUUCUGUCCACCCUGUAAAGUACCUAUAGCUAUACAGUGUUUGGGAUUACAUGAGGUAUGUGUUUCUGUCCACCCCUGUAAAGUACCUAUAGCUAUACAAGUGUUUGGGAUUACAUGAGGUAUGUGUUUCUGUCCACCCUGUAAAGUACCUAUAGCUAUACAGUGUUUGGGAUUACAUGAGGUAUGUUUUCUGUCCACCCUGUAAAGUACCUAUAGCUAUACAAGUGUUUUGGGAUUACAUGAGGUAUGUGUUUCUGUCCACCUGUAAAGUACCUAUAGCUAUAACAGUGUUUGGGAUUACAUGAGGUAUGUGUUUUCUGUACCACCCUGUAAAGUACCUAUAGCUAUACAAUGUUUGGGAUUACAUGAGGUAUGUGUUUCUGUUCCACCCUGUAAAGUACCUAUAGCAAUGUUUAUACAAUGUUUCUGUUUGGGAUUACAUGAGGUAUGUGUUUCUGUCCACCCUGUAAAGUACCUAUAGCUAUACAAUGUUUGGGAUUACAUGAGGUAUGUGUUCUGUCCACCCUGUAAAGUACCUAUAGCUUACACCCUGUGUUUGGGAUUACAUGAGGUAUGUGUUUCUGUCCACCCUGUAAAGUACUAUAGCUAUACAGUGUUUGGGAUUACAUGAGGUAUGUGUUUCUGUCCACCCUGUAAAGUACCUAUAGCUAUACCAGUGUUUGGGAUUACAUGAGGUAUGUGUUUCUUCUAAAGUCCACGUGUAAAAGUACCUAUAGCUAUACAGUGUUUGGGAUUACAUGAGGUAUGUGUUUUUCUGUCCACCGUGUAAAGUACCUAUAGCUAUACAGUGUUUGGGAUUACAUGAGGUAUGUGUUUCUGUCCACCUGGUAAAGUACCUAUAGCUAUACAAUGUUUGGGAUUACAUGAGGUAUGUGUUUCUGUCCACCCUGUAAAGUACCUAUAGCUAUACAAUGUUUGGGAUUACAUGAGGGUGUGUGUUUCUGUCCACCCUGUAAAGUACCUAUAUAGCUAUACAAUGUUUGGGAUUACAUGAGGUAUGUGUUUCUGUCCACCCUGUAAAGUACCUAUAGCUAUACAAUGUUUGGGAUUACAUGAGGUAUGUGUUUCUGUCCACCCUGUAAAGUACCUAUAGCUAUACAAUGUUUGGGAUUACAUGAGGUAUGUGUUUCUGUCCACCCUGUAAAGUACCUAUAGCUAUACAAUGUUUGGGAUUACAUGAGGUAUGUGUUUUUCUGUAAAGUCCACCCUGUAAGUAAAGUACUAUAGCUAUACAGUGUUUGGGAUUACAUGAGGUAUGUGUUUCUGUCCACCCUGUAAAGUACCUAUAGCUAUACAGUGUUUGGGAUUACAUGAGGUAUGUGUUUCUGUCCACCCUGUAAAGUACCUAUAGCUAUACAGUGUUUGGGAUUACAUGAGGUAUGUGUUUCUGUCCACCGUGUAAAAGUACCUAUAGCUAUACAGUGUUUGGGAUUACAUGAGGUAUGUGUUUCUGUCCACCGUGUAAAGUACCUAUAGCUAUACAGUGUUUGGGAUUACAUGAGGUAUGUGUUUCUGUCCACCUUGUAAAGUACCUAUAGCUAUACAAUGUUUGGGAUUACAUGAGGUAUGUGUUUCUGUCCACCUGUAAAGUACCUAUAGCUAUACAAUGUUUGGGAUUACAUGAGGUAUGUGUUUCUGUCCACCCUGUAAAGUACCUAUAGCUAUACAAUGUUUGGGAUUACAUGAGGUAUGUGUUUCUGUCCACCCUGUACAGUACCUAUAGCUAUACAAUGUUUGGGAUUACAUGAGGUAUGUGUUUCUGUCCACCAUGUACAGUACCUAUAGCUAUACAAUGUUUGGGAUUACAUGAGGUAUGUGUUUCUGUCCACCUGUAACAGUACCUAUAGCUAUACAAUGUUUGGGAUUACAUGAGGUAUGUGUUUCUGUCCACCCCUGUAAAGUACUAUAGCUAUACAAUGUUUGGGAUUACAUGAGGUAUGUGUUUCUGUCCACCCUGUAAAGUACCUAUAGCUAUACAAUGUUUGGGAUUACAUGAGGUAUGUGUUUCUGUCCACCCUGUAAAGUACCUAUAGCUAUACAAUGUUUGGGAUUACAUGAGGUAUGUGUUUCUGACCACCUUGUAAAGUACCUAUAGCUAUACAAUGUACAAUGUUUGGAUUACAUGAGGUGUGUGUUUCUGUCCACCCUGUAAAGUACCUAUAGCUAUACAGUGUUUGGGAUUACAUGAGGUAUGUGUUUCUGACUGAUUUGUUGUGUGACAUAUAGGAUGUAAGGAAAUGUGAUAUGAUUGCCUAUAUAAGAAAACUGUCCAUCAAAGUUUAAAUAUAAUGAAUGUUAGCAAUUAAAGGCAACCAUAUGGCCUUCAACAAUGAUAAAAACCCAUACUGUAUGGCUUAGAGCUAUUCCAGAAAAAAAUGUAUGGGGGGUUGGAAGGCAGUUUUUGUCAGCAACCGCCACCCAGACAAUUGUAAUUGAGAAUUAUAGUGCAUUAUAGUGUGAAAAGUUGCUCUGAUACCCAUCACCCAUGUAUUAUGAAUAUAAUGUGCCUUCCAACCCCCCCCCCCUCUACAUUUUUUUUACAGUGAAAGUGUAAAGAAAUUAAAAAAUAUCUUACUGGGAACAAUGUUUUUUAUGUGCAAUAGUCUUUUUAAAAAGGUUUCUGAAUUGUAACUAGAACUUGAAGCUUAAAUGUUGAAAAUACAUUCAAUUUAAAUCAAGAAAUUCAAACUUAUUAUUUACAUGCUAAUGUUUUUUCAGAAUUUUGCAUUUGAUUGUUUUUUUCAGACUGGUACCUUUGCAUGUUCAGAGGUUAGACCAUACAGUUGUGGUAGGUCAUGUGACCGUCUGCUGUUGUGUGGUAAUCAUACAUGUCAAUUACCCUGCCACCUAGUUACUGGAGCAAAGGAGAAUGGAAAGGUUAGUUUAAUUAUUGAAUUAAUUCACUUGCGAAACCAUUUUUUGUGGUUUUUAAAUGAUAAAAAAUCUGUGUACUUUUGUAACAUAUUACACAAUUCUUGUUAUAAAAUCUGUGAACUUUUGUUACAUAGUACACAAUUCUUGAUAAAAAAAUCUGUGAAAUUUUGUUACAUAGUACACAAUUCUUGAUGAAAAAAUCUGUGCACUUUUGUUUAAUAGUACACAAUUCUUGACAUAAAAUCUGUGUAAUUUUGUUUUGCUCAUUUCUUUCUUAUCUUUAUUUUGAGAGUUUGUCAAAUUCCUUUUAAUAUAUUUAUAUAAAAUUGCCCUUCUUUAACAAAAGCACUGAUAACAGACAGUUAAGAUGCUGCUAAAGUUCAUGUAAUUGUAUGCAGGCUUUUUACCCCAAAAAAUCUGUAUAAGUACUCUUUCAACAAUUCUUUUAGUUAUUUAUUUUCUAUAAAAACAAAAUUUUAGAAAUAAGUUCUACCCCUCAAGUGGAAAAAAGUAAAAAGAAUACAAAUAGUUCUUAUAAAUGCAGUUCUAGAUUGAUAAUUAAUGUGUUUUUAUCUUUGAUAAAAGACUGGUGACAAUUGCAGUCUGUGUGAAGAGGGAUGUGACAAGCCCCGCCCAGAUGGGUGUACCCACAAGUGUCCACUUCUCAAGUGUCAUCCUGGUGAUUGUCCCCCUUGCACACAGAUGAUCCGCAUGAGGUGUCAUUGUCAGAUAAUGGUUCAACACUUAGAUUGCAAUAAAUUGACUAAUUCUGACAAGAAUACUAAAAAUACCCUGAGGUCAUGUGGAGGACAAUGUCCGAAAAAGGUAAGGUAUUGAAAGCCAAUUUUUCAGACCUUUAACUUGUAAAUCAAACUGAAGAUUCAGUCAGGGAAAAAAAUGUCUUUGUUGUUUUGUGCUACCAUGUGAAUGAAAGAAUGUGUUUAUAUCAAGGAGACAACACAAGACAGAAACUAUUAUAUUUUAUACCAACUCAACAGAAAUAAAGUUCUUCUCAAAAAUGAAAGUGGUCUUCAGACAAGGGAUUUAUAAUUUUUUAGGGAAAACCAGAGAGGCUUUCAUUUGUAUCUGGAAAGAUAACAUUUGACAUAUUUCUUUACUUGCAAAUAAUUAAGUUGAAAUAGACAGUUUUGCAUUAAAAAAAAAAAAGAAAAAGGGCCAUAACUCUUUAUAACUUUGUUAUAUAUUUUUCAGCUGUCGUGUGGCCAUGUAUGUAGUUCUAAUUGUCAUGCUGGUCCUUGUCCUAUGGAAAAGAAAUGUACCAAAAAGACCACACGGAAAUGUGCAUGUAAACGUAUUAAAAAGGAAGUAGUUUGUAAAGACGUGACAAGUAAAGUGCUAGACUGUGAUGAGAAAUGCAAGGAAGAAAAUGAGAAAAAGAAAGAG